rnacentral:rRNA from 1 species
AUUGAACGCUGGCGGCAGGCCUAACACAUGCGAGUCGAGCGGUAGCACAGAGAGCUUGCUCUCGGGUGACGAGCGGCGGACGGGUGAGUAAUGUCUGGGAAACUGCCUGAUGGAGGGGGAUAACUACUGGAAACGGUAGCUAAUACCGCAUAACGUCGCAAGACCAAAGUGGGGGACCUUCGGGCCUCAUGCCAUCAGAUGUGCCCAGAUGGGAUUAGCUAGUAGGUGGGGUAACGGCUCACCUAGGCGACGAUCCCUAGCUGGUCUGAGAGGAUGACCAGCCACACUGGAACUGAGACACGGUCCAGACUCCUACGGGAGGCAGCAGUGGGGAAUAUUGCACAAUGGGCGCAAGCCUGAUGCAGCCAUGCCGCGUGUGUGAAGAAGGCCUUCGGGUUGUAAAGCACUUUCAGCGGGGAGGAAGGCGAUAAGGUUAAUAACCUUGUCGAUUGACGUUACCCGCAGAAGAAGCACCGGCUAACUCCGUGCCAGCAGCCGCGGUAAUACGGAGGGUGCAAGCGUUAAUCGGAAUUACUGGGCGUAAAGCGCACGCAGGCGGUCUGUCAAGUCGGAUGUGAAAUCCCCGGGCUCAACCUGGGAACUGCAUUCGAAACUGGCAGGCUAGAGUCUUGUAGAGGGGGGUAGAAUUCCAGGUGUAGCGGUGAAAUGCGUAGAGAUCUGGAGGAAUACCGGUGGCGAAGGCGGCCCCCUGGACAAAGACUGACGCUCAGGUGCGAAAGCGUGGGGAGCAAACAGGAUUAGAUACCCUGGUAGUCCACGCCGUAAACGAUGUCGAUUUGGAGGUUGUGCCCUUGAGGCGUGGCUUCCGGAGCUAACGCGUUAAAUCGACCGCCUGGGGAGUACGGCCGCAAGGUUAAAACUCAAAUGAAUUGACGGGGGCCCGCACAAGCGGUGGAGCAUGUGGUUUAAUUCGAUGCAACGCGAAGAACCUUACCUGGUCUUGACAUCCACAGAACUUUCCAGAGAUGGAUUGGUGCCUUCGGGAACUGUGAGACAGGUGCUGCAUGGCUGUCGUCAGCUCGUGUUGUGAAAUGUUGGGUUAAGUCCCGCAACGAGCGCAACCCUUAUCCUUUGUUGCCAGCGGUCCGGCCGGGAACUCAAAGGAGACUGCCAGUGAUAAACUGGAGGAAGGUGGGGAUGACGUCAAGUCAUCAUGGCCCUUACGACCAGGGCUACACACGUGCUACAAUGGCAUAUACAAAGAGAAGCGACCUCGCGAGAGCAAGCGGACCUCAUAAAGUAUGUCGUAGUCCGGAUUGGAGUCUGCAACUCGACUCCAUGAAGUCGGAAUCGCUAGUAAUCGUAGAUCAGAAUGCUACGGUGAAUACGUUCCCGGGCCU